AGCCUUUUAAAUCAUAUUCCUGAGGGAAUUUGAGAAAAUAAUUCUGUUAAAAAAAUGAACUGCUCUGUUAUAAUUUCACAUUCAGGCUGACCCAAGCUGAUGUCAACCAUUCACUCAACUACCCCUCCACCAUGACCCCUCUCUGACCCCCAUGAAGUUUCUCCAGCUCUGAGGAGGAAAACCAAGAGUUACUGAAAAGCAAUCAUGGAUUAUGAAUCAAAGUGGCUGCAGUCAUGAGAAACUGAAUCAUAACAACUCAGCCUCAGUUACCUCAUCUGUAAGAUGAAGCCAAUCACACCAACCUCUUAAAUUCAUUGUGAAGAUUGUGAUAGUGAAUAAAAAGCAGAGCAGUGGGGGUUCUUCAUUCUA